UGUCUUUCAAAAAUUAUAUUUAUUUAUUUAUUUUAUUUUCAUCUAUGAUAAUAAUAAAGCUAUGCCCUGUUUUAAGUGUUCUAACUCCCGAUCACCGCUACCAUUUCCGAUUGAUCUGAGUCUCAUAACAUAGGUCAGGGCUCUGCCCGACUAAAUUGUUGGGAUUCGGUCUCGGGACUUCGGGACAAGGUUGAAUUAGGGGUACUAUACUUAACACAAGUGCAUUAUAUUUUUAAUAGCCCAAAAGUUAUACCCAAAAUUUAUACCAGGAGAUUUUCUAGCUAAACCCUAAAGUUACAAAGUGGGUCCAUUCUCUUUUCUCACCGUUUUAUUUCCUUUUUGUGAUUUAUCCAAAACUAUUAUUUAUUAUUCUAUUUUGUAAACAACUCUCAAUCAAAAGUCAUAUUUAUUAUUUUAUUUACCCAAUAGGAAACCCUAGUUGAGACACCCAAGUAAUUCUGCACAAACCCUAAAAUUUUCAUAACAAUCAGAAUCAGGAUCAGGGCCCCUAAAACUCAGGGGGGAUAUUCCCUACUUGACGUUUAUCCUUAUAUCUCGCUGUCUAAAUUGAAAAUUAUCGUUCCGUCGACUCAGCAGGCCUAAGUACGUGACGAAGCAGGCCUAGCCUACUUUGGAUUCCCCCGCGACACGCGACAGAUCCCGGGGAUCCUGUCGCGACACGCGGGCGGUUCCAAAUCAGGCUAUAAAUAGAGGGGCCUGGGACUUGAUUUCUGGCAUUCGUUCGACGUUCAAAUUCGUUUCCUAGUUAAGUUAUUAUCCGUUUACUACAUAACACACACUAGCACGAAGCGCUGCUACGAUACAGGGUAUUAACUCGAUCGUUGCUACGAUUCAAUAUCCGAUCGACUGAAACUAUCCGACAGGAUGUUUAAGUACUAUCCUUUGUCAUUAGUCGUGAUUCCGACAGGAUGUUUGAGUGCUGCCCAAACUCGGGAUAGACUCUGUCAUUCGUUGUGAAUCCGAUGGAUGUUUAAGUGAUUGCACUUUGUCAUUCGUCGUGAGGGUUUUAAUCUCGUGAAUUUAUCGUAAAUGCUGUAUUAGUUAUUUACCUAGUUUCGGGUGCGUUAUCGCUUAAAUUAGGUUAUCAGGCUUAUCAAUAGACUAAACAAUACCCUAUACACUUACAAUCAAAGUAGAUGCUAAUUCUCAGAAGAAUCUGAAUUAUGAGGCUUGUUAAUUCAAAUACUGCAUGCUUAUAAUGUAAUUACACUAGAUUGAAGUAAGGAUUGGAUCCGGCACUAAAGGACUUCAAGAAGUGGCUUAUUUUAUUAAGAAAUAUCGUUUUAUUAAAAGCUACCUUUGUAAAACAUGAAUUCAUUUUACCUAUU
rnacentral:lncRNA from 1 species